rnacentral:rRNA from 1 species
AACGCGAAAGUCCUUCGGGAUGAGUAAAGUGGCGCACGGGUGAGUAAUGGUUGAGAACAUGCCCUGAGGUGGGGAAUAACAGUUGGAAACGACUGGUAAUACCGCAUGGUGUCGCAAGACUAAAGGAGGGGACCGCAAGGCCUACCGCCACAGGAUUGGCUCAACUCCCAUUAGCUAGUUGGCAGGGUAACGGCCUACCAAGGCAACGAUGGGUAUGUGGUCUUAGAGGAUGAUCACACACACUGGAACUGAGACACGGUCCAGACUCCUACGGGAGGCAGCAGUAGGGAAUAUUGCACAACGGACGCAAGUCUGAUGCAGCAACGCCGCGUGAGUGAAGAAGGCCCUUGGGUCGUAAAGCUCUUUAGCCUGGAAAGAAGUGCAUCCCGUGAACAAUAGGAUGGUGUGACGGUACCAGGAGAAUAAGGACCGGCUAAUUUCGUGCCAGCAGACGCGGUAAUACGAAAGGUCCAAGCGUUACUCGGAAUUACUGGGCGUAAAGCGCGCGUAGGCGGCUUUGUAUGUCGAUUGUG